CAGAAACCUGGAAGUGGAAAUCUCGGGCAUUCACCGUUUGGGUGAAGACGGAGGCGGGUUCUGGACAGACGUAGGCUGUCAGGGAGUGUUUACUUCGCCUCCACUUCUGUUCCUCCCUGCCCUGGUGCUGCUCCAGGUCACAUACUCGUCCUGAGCCGGCUUCAGCCUGUCCGCGCAGAAGUCUCCCGGAGCCAUGGCCUAGUACUCUUAUGUGAAGUCUAGCAAGCUCGUGCUCAAGGGAACCGAGUAAGAAGAAAAAGAGCAAAGAUAAGAAGAGAAAAAGAGAAGAUGAAGAAACCCAGCUUGAUACGUUGGAAUCUGGUGAACAGUAACAAACUUUGGUGAAAUUUCAGGAACCAUAGCCAUUGAAAUGGAUGAGGGAACCUAUAUACAUGCACUCGACAAUGGUCUUUUUACCCUGGGAGCUCCACACAAAGAAGAAUCGCCCUGAAAUCUGGCUAUGGAAAAUAUCUUGGUAUAAAUUCAGAUGAACUUGUUGGGCAUUCAGAUGCAAUUGGACCAAGAGAACAAUGGGAACCAGUCUUUCAAAAUGUUUAAAUCGCCUUGGACCACACCGCCAUGUUCCAGGGCUCACCAGGAGCCAUCCAGAUGAGAGACCACCCAGCCCUUGUGACUUGACUAAGAAAUUAAAUCCAUGUUAUCAGCACAUUUUUAACUGGAUGUGAUAUAAGG
rnacentral:lncRNA from 1 species